AAAAUCGUUUCAAUCUGAAAAAAAAUGGACUAUACAGUCGAAAUUAAGUGAAAAUGUCGGAAGCUCCCCCUUUUUUUAAUGAACAAUGGUUGGUAAUAAUAACUUGUUGUAGAAAGAAGAGAAUUAGUAAAAACAAAACAGAGAAAUAAUAAAUCUAAAAAAAAAUAAUAUAUAAAACUAUGUUGGACGGAACGCUUUGGUAAGAAGUGGACCAAUACCCCAUCCACCUUCAACAUCCAAAGCGCUUGCAACAAAUGCAGAAAAUUCUUUAACGCACGUCGAGGGGGCUGUAUUUUGUGCAUCCUCUUUCAUAUUUAAGGAAGUAGAAAGUUUCUUCCAUAACAUAGUAAAUGUUUGAAGAGAAGAAGUACUAAUCUGAUCGAAAUCACGCAAAGCGUAAAGGCCCUGCAAAAAUAUACGAAAAAGUGUCAAAUGUGGUACUGGUAAAUCGAAUUUAAACUUCGUUAGUUCCGUUUCAGCAUAUCGUAAACCCCAAAUCACAUUUUCCCAGCCCAUAGUCAAAUUAUAGGUAGUCAUACAAGGAGAAAUGUAAUCAUCAUCCAUCCACGAGUCAUCUUUAAAGUAUGAAGUGGCUGAUUCUAAGUCAGUCAAUGUAAUAGAGCGUAAAAAAAGUGGAUCGGGAAGAUAGUAAUAAGUGAGUACUAAAUGCCAUAAGCAAAGAAAAAUAGAACUUGUUUUUGCACAUGGGUUCGAGAGUUCCAUACUGACCUUUAAAUGUUGAAGCAUGAUUUCAUAUGAUCUGUUUGGCUGCCUUGGUAAACCAAUCAUACUCAAUUUAGCUUCAUCGCGAAUGAACUCAAAAAUGGCGAACAAUAAAACAAACCCUGAAAUAUUGGUUUCCUCAAGAAGUAGAGGUCCAUUAACCAAGAUACUUAAAGCAUCUCUAGGAUUGAGAGGAUUGGGUCUCCAAUAAUCCUUAGAAAGUAACUCUUUAGAACUCCAAAGUGCGCUCGAUAUGGGUAAGGGCAUUUGUAAUUCUAAGACAGAAAGGGAGGGAGGUUUAUUAAAAAUUAAUGCUAAAAACCACUCGAGGAUAUACAAACAAAACACACUUCUUCUAAUACAUUCAAGAUCUAUUAGAUUCGAAAUAUCGGUAUCUCCUUCGACCGACCAAUUUAACUUUGUCCAGCCAAAAGUGCGGCUUUCAUGAACUAAGUCUUUCAGUAAGACGUGACCAAUACCGGAAAAACAGGCAGUCUUUUCGAAUAAAGAGGCGGUACAAAACAACAAUCUAGAUUGAAAAACCCAGGCUUUUUUUACUCGCUCAGGAUCACCCUGUAAGUAGAGCUGAAGAACAUGAAAGCCGCUGUCCCAAAACAAUAAUGCCAUAGAAAAAUCACUUUCUAUACCAGUACACAAGCAUGCAAUCACAACUAGAGAGCGAAGAAAUGAAGCAGCAACAUUCUCGGAAUUAAACGAUGCUUGAUGAAUAAAAGGGAAAACAGGAUGAAACCACUCAAAGUAACCUUCGAUAUAAUGUUCUAAGAAAUCCGAAGGAAUCAAAGGAAGAAUGGUAAAAUAAGGACGCAAACUUGGAUGAUAAGCUUUUGGCACAUCUAUUGCAUCGAAAGAAGGUAAAACAAUUUUCAUAUUAUCUUCUUGCUGUGAUGCGGCAGCCUUUACGUCCAGCACAUCUUUCGAGCCUUCUUCGAUAACAGACUUAUCAUUAUGGAAUCGCUGUAUGUGGCGUUUGAGUAAAUCUUUUCUUUUGCAUUUGAUCUCACAAUAGGGACAAGGUAUAGGUUCAGCCUUACUAUGACAAGCCUUAUGUCGAGUUAGAUUUUCAUGCCUCGUAAAACGCUUGGCGCACUGGUCGCAAGGAAAGACGCGCUUAGAAUCAAUCAAUGAAGGUUCAGUCAACUUCCUCUUAGCAGACAAAACAUUCGUUGAAUUUUCAGAAACAUGAUCUACCAUAUUUGUGGAGAAAUCAAUACAAAACUUUCCCAAAGAAAAUCCAACGCAUAAAUAAGUAUAAAAUUUUAAAAAGUGUUAACCAAAAACGGGUAUAAACAAACAAUAAAUAUUAAAGAGGAAGGGAAACACUGUCAGACAACAGAUUUCCUAUGCAAAAACUAUGGUAGGUGGCUCAAUUGCAAAAUGUUAGAUAAAUUUUGACGCAACAAUUAAUGAACACCUUUUUACACAACAGAUUUAUACUUUUAAGCUUAAUACCAUCAGCAAUAGACUAUUUCCAAAUGUUUUUUCGUAUGGUAAAGGACAAGUAAGCAUUAUGAAUAAUUGUCGCGAUUAUCUCUCUUUAACCCUAAACAGAUGCUUCUGAUAAA
rnacentral:lncRNA from 1 species